GGAUUAGGCAUCCAAGUCGAACGAGGAAGGUUUCGCAAGAGACCAAGUAAAGUGGCGGAAGGGCGAGUAAUGCAUGGAUAACCUACCUCUGAGAUGGGAAUGACUAUUCGAAAGGAUAGCUAAUACCCAAUAAGACCACGGGCUGCAUAGUCUGUGUUUAAAGAUAGGGACCCGCAAGGGCCUUUCGCUCAGUGAGGGGUUCAUGUCCUAUCAGCUUGUUGGUGGGGUAACGGCCCACCAAGGCUAUGACGGGUAGCCGACCUGAGAGGGUGACCGGCCGCACUGGGACUGAGACACUGCCCAGACUCCUACGGGAGGCUGCAGUCGAGGAUCUUCCGCAAUGCGCGAAAGCGUGACGGAGCGACGCCGCGUGGGUGAUGAAGGCCUUCGGGUUGUAAAGCCCUGUCACCUGGGAAGAAUGGCGGGAGGUGAAUAGCCAUCUCGUCUGACGCUACCAGGGGAGGAAGCACCGGCUAAAUACGUGCCAGCAGCCGCGGUAAUACGUAUGGUGCGAACGUUGUUCGGAAUCACUGGGCAUAAAGAGCACGUAGGCGGUUGAGCAGGUCCAUUGUGAAAUCCCCCGGCUUAACCGGGGAAUAGCAGUGGUUACUACUUGACUUGAGUACAGGAGGGGAGAGUGGAAUUCCAGGUGGAGCGGUGAAAUGCGUAGAUAUCUGGAGGAACGCCGGUGGCGAAAGCGACUCUCUGGUCUGUUACUGACGCUGAGGUGCGAAAGCUAGGGGAGCAAACGGGAUUAGAUACCCCGGUAGUCCUAGCCCUAAACGAUGGGCACUAAGUAGAGGGGUUUU
rnacentral:rRNA from 1 species